AGCAGCCGCGGUAAUUCCAGCUCCAAUAGCGUAUAUUAAAGUUGUUGCAGUUAAAAAGCUCGUAGUUGAAUUUCAGGCCUGGCUGGACGGUCCGCCCUUCGGGUGAGUACUGUCUGUGGUCGGGUCCUACCUUCUGGCGAAGCGUCAUGGCCUUAACCGGCCGUGGCGGGGAACCAGGACUUUUACUGUGAAAAAAUUAGAGUGUUCAAAGCAGGCAAUCGCUUGGAUACAUUAGCAUGGAAUAAUGGAAUAGGACGAUGGUUCUAUUUGUUGGUUUCUAGGACCGUUGUAAUGAUUAAUAGGGAUAGUUGGGGGCAUUAGUAUUCAAUUGUCAGAGGUGAAAUUCUUGGAUUUAUUGAAGACUAACUACUGCGAAAGCAUUUGCCAAGGAUGUUUUCAUUAAUCAAGAACGAAAGUUAGGGGAUCGAAGACGAUCAGAUACCGCCGUAGUCUUAACCAUAAACUAUGCCGACUAGGAAUCGGGCGAUGUUGACAAAAUGACGCGCUCGGCACCUCAUGG
rnacentral:rRNA from 1 species